CACACUGACCAGAGACCUGCCUGCACUCCUUUGGAUGAAGAAGGCUACCCGUGUAUACAUGUGUGAACCAUUUCUUGUGUUGGAAAAACAGGAGACCUGAAGAGCUCUUGCAAAGAACAGGAGUGGGCAGGAAACAUGCGCUGUUGAAAACAUGGCCAACCAACUGGAGCACCCACAAGGCUCUUGUGAAGGAAGUCCACAAGUGCUUCAGGAUGGAUGGAAAGAACUCUUUGAUCAACCCCCACAGAGAGCUGAGGUGGCUAUCU